GACGAACGCUGGCGGCGUGCUUAACACAUGCAAGUCGAACGGAAAGGCCCUGCUUUUGUGGGGUGCUCGAGUGGCGAACGGGUGAGUAACACGUGAGUAACCUGCCCUUGACUUUGGGAUAACUUCAGGAAACUGGGGCUAAUACCGGAUAGGAGCUCCUGCUGCAUGGUGGGGGUUGGAAAGUUUCGGCGGUUGGGGAUGGACUCGCGGCUUAUCAGCUUGUUGGUGGGGUAGUGGCUUACCAAGGCUUUGACGGGUAGCCGGCCUGAGAGGGUGACCGGCCACAGUGGGACUGAGAUGCGGCCCAGACUCCUACGGGAGGCAGCAGUGGGGAAUAUUGCACGAUGGGCGGAAGCCUGAUGCAGCAACGCCGCGUGCGGGAUGACGGCCUUCGGGUUGUAAACCGCUUUCGCCUGUGACGAAGCGUGAGUGACGGUAAUGGGUAAAGAAGCACCGGCUAACUACGUG
rnacentral:rRNA from 1 species